UACAGAGGGUGCGAGCGUUGUCCGGAAUCACUGGGCGUAAAGGGCGCGUAGGCGGGCGAUCAAGCGUGCGGUGAAAGCUCGGGGCUCAACUCCGAGUCGGCCGUGCGAACUGGUUGUCUAGAGUCUGGUAGAGGUCGAUGGAAUUCCGGGUGUAGCGGGUGGAAUGCGUAGAGAUCCGGAAGAACACCGGUGGCGAAGGCGGUCGACUGGGCCAGUACUGACGCUGAUGCGCGACAGCGUGGGGGAGCAAACAGG
rnacentral:rRNA from 1 species